rnacentral:misc_RNA from 1 species
AUGUGUGCACACGUACGCACACCAUUUUACGCCUCCAUCAUAUUCCCCUCUCACCUUUUGCUUCUCAUUUGUAUUUCCCGACUUUACCAUCAUCGCUGCUGCGGGCGAGCGUGUGCGUGUGUGUGUCUGUGAAUCCAGAGUGGCUGCAGCCGCCUUUGCAGUUGGCCACUGCUCUUGGCCUACUCCCUUUUCCACCCUGUGUUCACCGUCUCACAAACUCGCCAGCCCACGGUCGGUGUCAGAGAAGGACCCUCGCAACAGCGCGAACGAAGAAAGCGAAGCGAAGGACAAGAGGACGCAGAGAUCUCGCCGAACACCAACAAAAAAUAAGAACGUAGAAGCUGUCUUGUGACGUCGCCGUCCUCUGAGCGCGUGUAUCCGGAAGAGGUGGAGCAGCGAACCCCCUUUUCCCACGAACAAAAAAGGGAGGGGGCGCACUGAGCCAGGCCGUCUCUUCACGACCCAUGUACGGCAAGCAAAACGAUAGAAAAAGCGACACGCAUCUCUUCCCAUCCUCUCUGUCUCCCAUCACCAUUCCUUCAUCGACAUUAAUUUGGCAAUCGAGAUCUUCACGCACGACGUGAGCAG